UACGGGGGGAGCAAGCGUUGUUCGGAUUUACUGGGCGUAAAGGGCGCGUAGGCGGCGCAACAAGUCACUUGUGAAAUCUCCGGGCUUAACCCGGAGCGGUCAAGUGAUACUGCUGUGCUUGAGUGUGGGAGAGGCGCGUGGAAUUGCAGGUGUAGCGGUGAAAUGCGUAGAUAUCUGCAGGAACACCCGUGGCGAAAGCGGCGCGCUGGACCAUUACUGACGCUGAGGCGCGAAAGCGUGGGGAGCGAACAGG
rnacentral:rRNA from 1 species